GAGCUCUCCCGAGCGCCAUGCUAGGCGCGGGCGGCGCGGGGCUUGCGCGGGCGUUGCGGGCCGGGACGCAGGCGUGGCUGUGGGGUUCGCGUGGCCGCUCGCUGGCCUUGGCGCGCGCGGCCGGCGGCCUCCACGCGUGGGGCCGGCAGCCCUCGGCCGGGCGCGGGCCGCGCGGGCGGCGGCGGAGUCUGUCGGCGGCGGCAGUCGUGAACGCGGCGCCCCGCCCGCUGCAGCCCUACCUGCGCCUCAUGCGGUUGGACAAGCCCAUAGGAACCUGGCUGCUGUAUCUGCCGUGUACCUGGAGCAUUGGUUUGGCGGCUGAACCAGGUUGUUUUCCAGAUUGGUGCAUGUUAUCCCUCUUUGGCACUGGAGCUGUUCUGAUGCGUGGAGCGGGCUGUACUAUUAAUGACAUGUGGGACCAGGACUACGAUAAAAAGGUUACAAGAACAGCAAGUCGCCCAAUAGCUGCUGGAGACAUUUCAACUUUUCAAUCCUUUGUUUUUCUCGGGGCACAACUGACCUUGGCCUUGGGUGUUCUUCUGUGUCUGAAUCACUACAGUAUAGCUCUCGGAGCAUCAUCCCUGCUUCUUGUCAUCACCUACCCGCUAAUGAAAAGAAUUACCUACUGGCCUCAAUUAGCCUUGGGAUUGACUUUUAAUUGGGGAGCAUUGCUUGGAUGGUCUGCUAUCAAGGGCUCCUGUGAGCCAUCUGUUUGCCUUCCUCUUUAUUUUUCUGGAAUUAUGUGGACUCUGAUAUAUGAUACUAUCUAUGCCCAUCAGGACAAGAAAGAUGAUGCUUUGAUUGGGCUUAAGUCCACGGCACUGCGGUUCCGGGAAGACACCAAGCAGUGGCUCAGUGGCUUCAGUGUGGUGAUGCUGGGGGCCCUGAGCCUGGUGGGAGUGAACAGUGAUCAGACUGCACCUUACUACAUCGCCCUGGCUGCUGUGGGAGCCCAUCUGGCUCACCAGGUGUGUGCUCUGGAAGAAUAUCGGCCAGGAUAAGUGGCAGAGGAGCAGAGCCAAAAGAAUCGGGUUAACACAGAGGCCUGCUGUGGCAUCACAGUUUGACCUUGGAGGAAACUUUGGGGCAGAAUGGCUUUCCCACUCAGGGAAAAAGCUCCAGUGUCUAAAAAGGCAAUGAUUCUGUUGAGGACUGGCUCUGUAAUUUGCCAAAAUCUACACAAUUUAUUCAGGACUGGCGACAUAAUUUGGACAUCACUUUAUAUUUUAAAAUACUUAAAAUAUUCCCCCAAGCACUGGUGCCAAUUAGAAGAGGGGCCCCUGCUGGACUUCGGGGGAGCCUUGGGAUUCUCGCACAAUCCAGUUUGAAAACCAUUUAUCCCCUAAUUUUGCAUGAAGGGAAACUAAGGCCUAGAGAAACAAUUUACCUGUAAUUAGAACAAGUUAUUGACAGAUGAAACUGAUGUAAGAAUGGACAUUUAUGUCCAUCCAGUUACUAAGAGCCAACUAAUCCCUUCCACUUUUGGUUUCUCUAUAUCUAAAAUGGGGAUUAAAAUAAUACCUACCUCACUGGCCGUGGUGUAAGGAUUGCCCAAGAAAAUGAUCUCAUCUAGUCUCUUGACUGUAAAUGACUUGUACAUCGCUUACUCCGGAGUGUGUUCCUACAGCCUAAAUGUGAACUUGAACUGAACAGAAUUGAAUAUCGAACUCCUUCCUUAACAUUUCCCCUUGAAAGCCAGAUAGCCGCCUCCAAAACUGAGCCCCCCAUCUUCCCACUCAAGCCUCCCCCACCCUCUGUGCCACGUCAGUGAUGGCGCCCACGCUUUCUGUUGGUCUGGCCAAAACCCUGGGACUGUCCAUGCCUUCUGUCUUUCUCUCACAUUCCACAUCCAAGACCUGAGAAGAGACUCUGGGCUUUGCCUUCAAAAUACGUGCAGAAUCCCACCUUUCUCUCCACUGCUACCGUCCUGGUCCGUGUCGCCAUCCUCUCCCUGGAUCAACGUGCUGACUGGUCUCCCUUCUUUUCCUUUUUGCCCCCUUUCAUUCUGGUCUCACCAAAGAGCCUGAGGGACACGUUAAAACACAGGCCAGCACCUGUCACGCCUCUCCUCAGUACCUCCCGGGGCGCCAGAGUUCUCUCCUAGUAAAGCCAAGGUCCUAAGCAUGGCCUUCAGGCCCUGUGUGAUACGGCUGUUGUCUCCUGACUCUUCCCCCCACCCCCUCCCUUGCCACACGGCUCCCACUCUAGAGGCUUCUGUAUGGUUCCCCGAAUGCUUCCUCCAGGCUCCGUCAAGGCUGCUCCUUCACCUCCUUCAGUCUUUGCCAACAUAUCACCAUCUCAGGGAAACCUAAAUCCUGUCUUCCCUUUCUCAAACUGCGCAGUCACCACAAACUUCCUUUUCUCUUUUUCUGCUUUAUUUUCCUCCAUAGUGAAACAUGAUAGAAUUUCUUUUGCUUAUUUCCUGUAUUGUCUCUCCUCACGAUCUAGAAUCUAAGUGCCAUGAGGAUGCAGCUGUUUCCUCAAGUAUGGAUUAGUACUUAUCUCCGGAGCCUGGAAAAGUGUCUAACACUGAGUAAGCUUUCAAUAAAUAUUUUUUGAAUGAA